GGCUCAGUGGUCCAAUGGUACAGCGCUCGUCGCGGAGCCAGAUUAACCUGGGUUUGAUCCCCAACAGGGUCG
rnacentral:tRNA from 1 species